rnacentral:lncRNA from 1 species
UGAAUCGUCAUAUGUGACCCCAGUGGCCAUAGAAAGACCAGGACCGGACUCUAUGCAUCAUUUCUUUUGCUUUCGUGCUAAGUCCCCUCCUGUUCCAUGGUUUAACAAGCGAUGACCACUCUACUUCCAUUGUCAACUAACUCCUCACAUGAACUGGAAGCCACGUCUCAUGUGGCCCACUCAACCACUGGCACAUUGAAUGUUUCCUCUCCAAGCACGUCAAACCCUGCCCUGCACUGGUCAAGCCUCUGAACACCUCAACUCAUGCCUCAUACCCUCAUUCAAUCACUGCUGUGAUCCCUUCCCAAAAUGGCAGCCUGGGAAAGAACUGAAAAAACUCACUAAAGAGUCAAGACAGAGACACCAGAAAGACCCAAGAAGACUUGGACGCAGCAUCAGAGGACAGAGAGGGAUGUUCAGAACUCACUCAGUCUGGUUAGAAGAGAAUGACUCCUCAACCCAAGAGGCCCUGGAGCAGCUGUGAGAGAGCAGCAGUGUGGAAACAUUUGGGGAAAUUUAAGGAAGGUUUCCUGGUAAAGAGGAUUGACUGUUACGUAAAGGGUCAGAGCCACUGAGUGGACAAAAUAUUAAGGAUACCUUCCUAAUACUGAGUUACGCCUGGUCAGUUUGUCAUGGAAAGAAAGGUGUCCUUAAUGUUUUGUGUAAAUUACAUAAUAACUAUACAUUUAUGGAUUGAUUUAUAUAGCCUAUUGUUUUCUAUUUAUUCAACCUGCCAUCUACCCACCUGGGGACUGAGGGUUAUGAGAGAACCCCCACAUCACUAGCUUCUCUUUAUUCAACCUGCCAUCUACCCACCUGGGGACUGAGGGUUAUGAGAGAACCCCCAC